GGUACUAAAAGUAGAGAAUGUGCUGCUACGCACCCUAUGGGUCAAAAGAAAUGCUGGAUUGGCACACAGCUUAGUACC
rnacentral:ncRNA from 1 species